rnacentral:ncRNA from 10 species
UACGUUCAUCCCUUUUGGGACGCAAGUAAGCCAGAGGCUGAAGGAACGGGAA